rnacentral:rRNA from 1 species
UACGGGGGGGGCAAGCGUUGUUCGGAAUUACUGGGCGUAAAGGGCUCGUAGGCGGCCAACUAAGUCGGAUGUGAAAUCCCCAGGCUUAACCUGGGAACUGCAUCCGAUACUGGAUGGCUUGAAUCCGGGAGAGGGAUGCGGAAUUCCAGGUGUAGCGGUGAAAUGCAUAGAUACCGUCCAGAACCCCGAUUGCGAAGGCAGCUGGCUGUACCAUUAUUGACGCUGAGGCACGAAAGCGUGGGGAGCGAACAGG